AUUGAACGCUGGCGGCAUGCCUACACAUGCAAGUCGAACGGUAACAGGUCUUCGGAUGCUGACGAGUGGCGAACGGGUGAGUAAUACAUCGGAACGUGCCUAGUAGUGGGGGAUAACUACUCGAAAGAGUGGCUAAUACCGCAUGAGAUCUACGGAUGAAAGCAGGGGAUCGCAAGACCUUGUGCUACUAGAGCGGCCGAUGGCAUAUUAGGUAGUUGGUGGGAUAAAAGCUUACCAAGCCGACGAUCUGUAGCUGGUCUGAUAGGACGAUCAGCAAGACGGGGACUGAGACACGGGCCAGACUCCUACGGGAGGCAGCAGUGGGGAAUUUUGGACAAUGGGCGAAAGCCUGAUCCAGCAAUGCCGCGUGCAGGAUGAGGGCCUUCGGGUUGUAAACUGCUUUUGUACGGAACGAAAAGCCCCGGGUUAAUACCCUGGGGUCAUGACGGUACCGUAAGAAUAAGCACCGGCUAACUACGUGCCAGCCGCCGCCGUAA
rnacentral:rRNA from 1 species